GACGAACGCUGGCGGCGUGCUUAACACAUGCAAGUCGAACGGAAAGGCCCUGCUUGCAGGGUACUCGAGUGGCGAACGGGUGAGUAACACGUGGGUUAUCUGCCCUGCACUUCGGGAUAAGCCUGGGAAACUGGGUCUAAUACCGGAUAGGAGCCAUUUUUAGUGUGAUGGUUGGAAAGUUUUUUCGGUGUAGGAUGAGCUCGCGGCCUAUCAGCUUGUUGGUGGGGUAAUGGCCUACCAAGGCGGCGACGGGUAGCUGGCCUGAGAGGGUGGACAGCCACAUUGGGACUGAGAUACGGCCCAGACUCCUACGGGAGGCAGCAGUGGGGAAUAUUGCACAAUGGGCGCAAGCCUGAUGCAGCGACGCCGCGUGGGGGAUGACGGCCUUCGGGUUGUAAACUCCUUUCGCUAGGGACGAAGCUUUUUGUGACGGUACCUAGAUAAGAAGCACCGGCUAACUACGUG
rnacentral:rRNA from 1 species